AAGAUAGAAGAUGAGGAGACGAUCUCGUUCAUCUUGAACGGGUUGGACCUCGACUACAACUCCUUGGUGACUUCCAUGAUGGGUCGUGCUGAUACAAAUCUGAGCGAUCUAUAUGCUCAGAUUAUGGCCUUCGACA